rnacentral:rRNA from 1 species
GACAGAGGGUGCAAACGUUGUUCGGAAUUACUGGGCGUAAAGCGCGUGUAGGCGGCCAUCUAAGUCGGGCGUGAAAUCCCACGGCUCAACCGUGGAAGUGCACUCGAAACUGGAUGGCUAGAGUCCUGGAGAGGAAGGUGGAAUGCUUGGUGUAGAGGUGAAAUUCGUAGAUAUCUGGAGGAACAUCAGUGGCGAAGGCGACACCCUGGACUCAUACUGACACUGAGGUGCGAAAGCGUGGGGAGCAAACAGG